AUUGAACGCUGGCGGCAUGCCUUACACAUGCAAGUCGAACGGCAGCAUGGAGAGCUUGCUCUCUGAUGGCGAGUGGCGAACGGGUGAGUAAUGCAUCGGAACGUACCGUGUAAUGGGGGAUAACGUAGCGAAAGUUACGCUAAUACCGCAUACGACCUGAGGGUGAAAGCAGGGGAUCGCAAGACCUUGCGUUAUACGAGCGGCCGAUGUCAGAUUAGCUAGUUGGGAAGGUAAAGGCUCACCAAGGCGACGAUCUGUAGCGGGUCUGAGAGGAUGAUCCGCCACACUGGGACUGAGACACGGCCCAGACUCCUACGGGAGGCAGCAGUGGGGAAUUUUGGACAAUGGGGGCAACCCUGAUCCAGCCAUGCCGCGUGAGUGAAGAAGGCCUUCGGGUUGUAAAGCUCUUUCGGCCGGGAAGAAAUCGCACAGGCUAAUACUCUGUGUGGAUGACGGUACCGGCAUAAGAAGCACCGGCUAACUACAUGCCAGCCGCCGCGGUAA
rnacentral:rRNA from 1 species